rnacentral:rRNA from 1 species
AGAGUUUGAUCCUGGCUCAGAUUGAACGCUGGCGGAAUGCUUUACACAUGCAAGUCGAACGGCAGCACGGGGGCUUGCUCCUGGUGGCGAGUGGCGAACGGGUGAGUAAUGCGUCGGAACGUACCGAGUAAUGGGGGAUAACGCACCGAAAGGUGUGCUAAUACCGCAUACGCCCUGAGGGGGAAAGUGGGGGAUCGCAAGACCUCACGUUAUUCGAGCGGCCGACGUCUGAUUAGCUAGUUGGUGGGGUAAUGGCUCACCAAGGCGACGAUCAGUAGCGGGUCUGAGAGGAUGAUCCGCCACACUGGGACUGAGACACGGCCCAGACUCCUACGGGAGGCAGCAGUGGGGAAUUUUGGACAAUGGGGGCAACCCUGAUCCAGCCAUUCCGCGUGAGUGAAGAAGGCCUUCGGGUUGUAAAGCUCUUUCAGCUGGAACGAAACGGUACGCUCUAACAUAGCGUGCUAAUGACGGUACCAGCAGAAGAAGCACCGGCUAACUACGUGCCAGCAGCCGCGGUAAUACGUAGGGUGCGAGCGUUAAUCGGAAUUACUGGGCGUAAAGCGUGCGCAGGCGGAUUGUUAAGCAAGAUGUGAAAUCCCCGGGCUUAACCUGGGAAUGGCAUUUUGAACUGGCAGUCUAGAGUGUGUCAGAGGGGGGUGGAAUUCCACGUGUAGCAGUGAAAUGCGUAGAGAUGUGGAGGAACACCGAUGGCGAAGGCAGCCCCCUGGGAUAACACUGACGCUCAUGUACGAAAGCGUGGGUAGCAAACAGGAUUAGAUACCCUGGUAGUCCACGCC